rnacentral:rRNA from 1 species
UAAUCUCACUACAAUCGACUUUUGUCUUUGCAUGUGGACUUGGAUGCUGCCGUGAAUAAAACGGCUCGUCUGAAAUGCCUGAGUGUACCCUGCCCUGCGGCGUAUUUGGUGUGAUACAUCUUCACCAGAGUCGAUCCUUUGGAUUGCGUCUGCACGUGGUGGGCUCUAUGCUUUCCAAUCGUCCUUGACAAGGACAACAUCUGACAAUUGGACCUCAAAUCGGGUGGGACUACCCGCUGAACUUAAGCAUAUCAAUAAGCGGAGGAAAAGAAACUAACAAGGAUUCCCCUAGUAACGGCGAGUGAAGAGGGAAAAGCUCAAAUUUUGAAUCUGGUGUCUUUGACGCCCGAGUUGUAAUCUAGAGAAGUGUUUUCCGUGUCGGACCGUGCACAAGUUCCCUGGAACGGGGCGUCAUAGAGGGUGAGAAUCCCGUAUAUGGCACGGAUCGCCGAUGCUAUGUGAUACACUCUCAACGAGUCGAGUUGUUUGGGAAUGCAGCUCAAAAUGGGUGGUAAAUUCCAUCUAAAGCUAAAUAUUGGCGAGAGACCGAUAGCGAACAAGUACCGUGAGGGAAAGAUGAAAAGCACUUUGGAAAGAGAGUGAAACAGUACGUGAAAUUGUUGAAAGGGAAGCGUUUGAAGUCAGUCGUAUCUGGCGGGAUUCAGCCCGGCUUUGCCUGGUGGAUGUCCCGUCCGAUGGGUCAGCAUCAAUUUUGACCGAGGGAAAAGGAUGCGUCGGGAAUGUGGCUGCCUCGUGCAGUGUUAUAGCCCCGUAUAUGGAUGCCUCGGUUGGGAUUGAGGAACGCAGCGCGCCUAUAGGCCAGGGGCUACCCGCCUCUUGACACGCGCUUAGGAUGCUGGCAUAAUGGCUUUAAGCGACCCGUCUUGAAACACGGACC